GCCUCGAUGGCGUAGUGGUCAAAACGCUAGCCUGGCAAGCAGGAGGGCGUGGGUUCGAUCCCAGCCGAGGCA
rnacentral:tRNA from 1 species